CGCGCCGCUGGGCUGCGGCCGGCUCCGGUCCCGCCGGGCCCUCCACCCCCCACCCUCCCCCUCGCUCCCGCUCCCGCCUCCUGCCCGGGGCCGCUGCACCGCGGAAGUGCCGCUGUCGCCCAAGCGAGGAGCUGCUCCUCGGCCAGGAGUUGUGUUGGGUUAGAAGAGAGGGGUGUCCCGUACCCGGAACCCUUCGUCCCAUUCUUUUGGAAGGAUUAACCCCGGCUUCCCAGGUCCCGGGCUACUCUGGGCUUUGUUGCUCUGUAAGAGUUCGCCAGAGGCACUUUUCCGGGAGUGGAGCCGUGUCCCGGGUGGCAGACUAACCUAGCUCUAGGAAACCUCUUCGGGGGCACUUGAGCGGUUCCCCCAGUGAUGUGGCCCACGGGGAGGAGCUGGGUUCCAGGAGGGAGGGCGGAGAACAGCCCCCGGCUCCAGGAGCGUCGGGGAGGAAGGGCAGGAAUGCGCGCGCUGGGUCGGGGGGCGCAGCCGGAGGCGAGGGUCCCGUGGCGCCUGGCGGCCUCGGCGUGCAGUGAAGCCCUAUCAUUAUUGCAUUAUUACUUGUUUAGUUAAAGCGCCGUCCCAGCGGCUCGGGGUGUAAACUGGGGUUGGCGAGGUGACAGCCCGGCGCGGCGGGCGCUCCCGCUCGGUCCUUGAUAGUUCCAGGCACGCGGGAGCCCCGAGUACGGUCCAGAUGUGGGGGCUUCGCGCCCGCGGUGGGAGGACUGCCCGAGGCCGCGGCCGAGCGGCUCUGCACUGUCAGCAGCCGCUUUGUUUUGACAGGGUGACAGCUGAGGGGGGCGGGGACUUGGCCUCGUCCGCUCCUGCGGCCUGUGGCAGAGGCGGGGAAGACACACACACACACAGACAGACACACUCACACUCACUCUAACACACCUUCCGAUUGUGGCUUCUGCCUGCAGCGAACAGAGUGCAUCCCAGAUCCCGAUUGCGGUCGCUGUGGCGCUUCCGAGCUGUGCUGGAGCUGUUGUGACCCUUUAGGACAGCUCUCCCAAGGACGCGGGUUUUAGCAGUUCAGGAGCUCUCGAUGGCAGUGGAAAGUCUGUGCCUUGCCCCUUUCCCCACCAUUGCCUCGUGUUUAUGUUGAGCACCUGCUGUGUUCAAAAAAUAAGUUGUUGAAUGCUUGUAGUGCCGAGACCAAUGCUUCUCCAAGCAUGUGUCGCAGUCACCCACGGAGUUGCCUGAAAUGCUGAUUCUGCAUCAGCAGGUGUGGGGCGAGGUGGGGAGUCUGCUUUUCUCAUAAAUUCCCAGGCAGUGCUGGGCAGCUUCACACACCUCCAUCCUACUUAGCAAGACCUGAGUUACCUGGACAGUAAGUGACAGAGCCCUCUCUGAAUUCAGCAGAAAAGCUGGGAAUUACGAAAUAAGAAAGCCUCACGAUGGAUGUUUCCGCAGAAAAAAUGCAAAGAAAGACGAAGGAAGAGUGCUGCUAGAAGUCGAAGGCCAGGAGUUGAUUUCGGAGGGUGUAGACUACAAAGAGGAUCUUGGCGGUCCUAGGCAAAAGGGGGAGUAGUGCGGUUCAGGAGCAAGUUUGGUGUCUGGUGGGAUUGGCAUUUUGCAGCCACUGGGGGCGUGUGUAGGAACCGCAGCGGCGCAGUGUGUUUGACCUAGCUGUAGUUUUUAAUUUAUGGGGCCCCCAUAGCAUCUUUUCUGCCUGUUGCCUUAAUUUCUGAACGCUCUCUUGAAGUUACGGUUCAUCUAUGAUUGUGAGAUUUUGUUUAAACCUGGCCUUGCACUGAUGUGUUUGAUCCUUUAAAAUGACCUUGAGUAGCUGAGUGGGGUGGCACAUACCUGUGGUCCAGAUUGGGGGGGGUGUCAUAAGUUCAAGCUCAGUUUUGGUAACUUAGCAAAAAAUAAACAAGGGCUGGAGGACUGGGAAUGUAGGUCGGAGCAAUUUUGGUGCCACAUGCUGGAGAAUCGCUGAAUGAGAUGUAGCAUUUUCUGAAGUUUUUGUUUUGUUUCCUGUUCACAUAUUCAACCAAACUGAUAGGAAAAGAAAACCCUUCUCAUUAAAGGUUUUUCUUCAUGCUACUAGGAGACUGACAGCGUCCUUUUUUAUCCCAUUACCGUUUCAGAGAAUCCCAGCUGGGUGCCAGGCAUUGUGCCAGGACCUCUGUCCUGUUGGACCUGUGUCACUGAAUGUGUGUGUGUGUGUGUGUGUGUGUGUGUGUGUGUGUGUGUGUUUGCCCAUAUGCAGGCAUACUGUGAGGUCCAUGGGAAGAAGGAAGCGAAACAGUUACAGUGAAAUUCAGAAGAACUUUCUUGGCAUCUUGGCAUGCUGUGGGACCCCACGCAAAAGCAGCGCCUGGGUGGAGUGGGAAGGACUUCCUGGAGGAAGUGUCACGGCUGCUAAGGACUCAGCAGCGUCGAGUGGGUGGGGUGAAGCUUCUGCGCCCGCCCGAAGAAACUGAAAGGAGGCCGAGGCCAACCCGAGGCGGCCAUCUGCCCUGGGGCCCUGGGGUGGGGGAAGGGUGUGUGCCACCCCGGGGGCCCUGGAGAGUUCGGGAAUCGUAGCCCCCCCCCACCCAGUGAUACUAUCUUAGAAUUUUUGUUUUUCAACUGGACUCGAUUGGUUCUGACAGCGCUGAGAGGACAGAACCUGCGGGGCCUUCUCAGUCUGUUUCUGCACUCUGUGCUUUCAAUUUAUGCAAUUCAGGCUGGCCUUGAACUCCCAAGCAAUCUUCCUGCUUCAGCCUCCCCAGUGGUGUUCCAUUUUAAAAUCAACUCCCAGCUCAUGAGGAAGAGAGCACAGUGGUAGAGCUCUUACUUUGCUAAGCCUGCACAAGGACUGGUAAAGUAUUCUAUUUCCAGCACAAGAUCAACAAAAACACCAACCAGUCAACCAAACACUUAAAUAAAUUACUCAAAACGAAUUCCCAGCGUUUUCUGCAGAUUUCAGAUUCCUUGUCUGCCCUUUACCUUUCUGUCCAUCUUUCCAUUAGAAACCACCCAAGCUUUUUUAUGCUUCAUGACUGAUGCUUUUGAUUGUGAUCUGCAGUGAAGGGUGAUUAUUUGAUAUGUGUUUAGAAUCUGGGUAGAUUAUAUGUGAUGUGGUUAUUGACUAAGUGAAUGAGCCGGGGAAGAGAAAGUGGAGGAAAUGAUCAGCUGUUAGGAGAGCAGCUGUGGAAUCCUAGCUUGCCUUUUACUUGGCAGCUGGACGAAGGUUUUUUAAGAUGGGUCUGACUGUGUUGUCCAGGCUGUGGUCCUUCUGCCUCCUGAGCACUGGGACUAGGGCACAUGCUGACAUGGGGGAAAGAAAUUCCUAGCCUACUAGAUGUCCUGUAUGAGGAACAGUGGAGGUUAGGAGCAGAAAUAUUUACUGAGAGAAAGAAAGCUUUCUGUCUGGGCGAGAGAAGGCAUUGUUAGGGAUCAGUGACUUUCUGUAGGGUUGGGAUGGUGACUCCUGGCUUCUCAAGGUGAUUCAUACCUAUUUAGAAUAUCAGUUCCUGAUGGUUUAUGCAUUUGUUUUGCCUUCUGUCUUGAGAUCUGGCCCGCAGCAAGAGGUGUGUGUCUCCUCCAAGGUCACCAGACAUUUGGUCCUCUGCUGGCUUCCUUGACUACCUGUAACAUUUCUAACUAGCUCAGCUGCCUGUAGCAAUACCACCAUGUCUGGCUGAAGGAGAUUUUUCACACAGUAUCACUAGGUAUCCUGGGGGUGAUGGGACCUUUAUCUGGCUCCCUUUUCUCUGUCAUCUACCCCUUCUAGUACUGGGGUUUAAACUGUUUCUUUGUACUGAACUACAUUCCCGCCCCAUUUAUGUACGUGCGUGUGUAUGUGUUUGAGACAAGGUCUUGCUAAAUUUCUCUGUGUUUUUCUUUUUUCUUUCCAGACUGGCCUUGUAGUCUAAAAUUUUCUUGAAUUUAUGGCAGUCUUCCUGCCUCAGCCUCCCAAAGUAUAGAGCCUAACUGUUUUUUAGUGUUAUAAUAGAAAACUCAAAUGAUUGGAUGACUAGCUCAAAUCUGAAUUUUCUUAUAACUUAUCUACUAAUUUAAAAAGCAGAAUCCAUUGACUGACUUGACAGGAAUAGGUAACUGUAUGCCUGUCAUCCUAGGAUGGUGGGAGGCUGAGACAGGAGAAUUGCAAGUUCAAGCCCAGCCAGGACAGUUUAGUAUAUUUCCCUAGAAAUAACACCUAAUUGGAAAAUAAUGAUAUAGAGGAAUGAAACUCCUGACCUACUAUGUCCAUGAGUUCGUGUCCUCUAAAAUCAAACAGUGAAUUUUAGAAACAAUAGAGAUUAAGAGUAGAAUAUAUUGAAAGAAGGAAAGCUUCUGAGAGAAAGAAGGGGUCCCAAGUGGGUUGCCAAGGACUCUGUCUUUUCUAGGAACUUUUUUUAGUUUUUUUUUUUUUUUUUAAUCGGUACUGGGGAUUGAAUUUACAACUGCCUGCUUGCAAGGCAGGUACUUAUGCCGCUGAGCUAAAUCCCCAGCUCCAUUUUCUAGGGACUUUUAUAGAGCAAAAUCAUGGGAACUCACAAGGCAAAUGGGCAUAGGUGGAACAUAACUAUGUAACUAUUAAAUUGGGGACAAAUGAAAGUGGGAUUCUUAGAGCUGUGACUUUCCCCAGGGAGUUGGGAUGGUGACUCCAGGCGUCCUCAGGGUGAUAGGGAACUCUUCAGAAUUUCAGUCCUCAAGAUGUGGGUGCAUUUGUUUGGUCUUUUGUCUUCAGGCCUGGCCCACAGCAGGAGGUGUCUGUCUCUCCUGCAGUUGCCAGGCAUCUGGGCUUCUGCACUGGCUCCUUUGAGGACCUAGCCCUGUUUCACUGCCUGUAAUAUUUCUAACUAACUCAGCUGCCUGCAACAAUAAGACCUAACAUGAUUUUUCAGGGUGCUCAUACUAUAAACCGUACCCUCAAAGUAAGCCUCAGUUAAAAUUGUCAGCCAGACACACACAUUUAAUGUAUCUGAUGCAACGUACAAUGGACUUACUAAAUUAUGAAAUAAUAAUGUUCAUAUGGUUAAAUGCAGAUGAAUAUUAUUAGCAUUAAUAGUUACAUGAUAAUACAGAUUAUACUUAGGUAUUCAUAAAUAGCCAAGCAGGUGCCUUUGGACUAGAGAUAAACACCUGUGAACCUUGAGACCCGUCGCUGAAUGACCAGAGUACAGGCACAGCACACAGACAAUGAGUGCACUUGGUAACCAAUGGACAUAGCUGUGUCUGAUAGGGAUUUUCAUAAUUUGGUGUAUCGUGUGUUGUCAUGGAUGUCUCUAAUGCACUUGUGUCAGAUACCUUCUGAAUUUUGGUGCCUGCAGUUUUUUGUUCUUAAGGGUCAUCAUUAUUUGUGGCCACUCCUGUCUCAUUAAGUCUUUGAUGAACGUUUAAUUUAACAGAAACUUUGUGAAAUGUAGCUUGCAAGAAGUCAUGACUGGGGUGAAGAACUCAUUGGAUAAAAUCACUGACCGCUGUGCUGCUAGUGCACUGUAAGUAGGCUAUAAGGAAUGCUCAUUUAAGGACCGCUUUCCUGCUGGGUGUGAGAGUUGGGGGCCAGUGGUUCUACAGGAAACGGGAGUCAAGAAGGUCAGGCUGGAAUUCAGAGUUUGGAGAGCUGUGAUGAUGUUCCAGGAGAUGAUGGGACUAUUUGACUAUAUGUAGUUUUUUUAUAUACGAAUAAGUAUAGAUUGUUGUACGUGAACUAAGAUAUCACUUCUCUGAAAAUAAACCCUAGUGCAUCUUUUGGACAAAAAUGAACAUAAGACCCUUAUUUUUAGAGAAAUACAGUGUGGAACUCAGUCUUGAAUUCCAUCUUGGCCAUUUGUGUAGUCUUGGGUACAAGUCACUUAGUUUUUCUGUGACCCUUAAUUCCUUCAUUUAUAAAAUGGGGACUGUGACUUCAGCUUUAAGGUUUAAAGAGAAGUGGUUCCUAAAGUUUCACGGUUUUUAAAUGUUCUUCUUCAAUUAGAUUUGAUUGGUACAUUUUAGAUAUACAUUCCAUGCAUCAGAGAGAAUGUGUAUGUGACCUCCUGAUGUUGCUUGAUUCUUUUUUUCCACAUUCCCCUACCCCUGAAGUUGCUAGCACAUAAAGAUGUCGGGUUAGUAGUGGGUCACUGAUGUGUCUGCUGUUGUACUUGCUGUGUAUUGGUUGGUGGCCACCGAGCAUUUAUGGUGGACCUACCUUGAUUCGGGGCUGACUGUUACAGAGUUUGGGGCACAGGGCUGUAAUGCUGAGGUGCUUUGGUUGGGGCAGCCCCGCUACCCCACACCCUACUGGAAGUUGAACCAGAGAACAUUCAACUAUAUCCCCAGGCCUUUUUGCUUUUUAAAAAAUUUUUAGACCAGGUCUCCCUAGGUUGCCCAGACUAAUAUUGAACUCACGGUGCUCUUCUUCAGACUCCUGAAUUGUAGGCUUGUCAGCGUGCUACUGGGCCCAACAUAGCUUUCUUUUUCAACUGUGCCUUUCAUCCAGGAACUGACAAGGUUUGUCAGUGUCUGGAGACGCUUGUGAUCAUGCCAUCAGGUGGAGGGAGUGAUACUGGUCACUAGUGAGUCGAAAGCAGGAAUGUUGCUAAAAACUCCUCAGUGUUCCGCGCCAUGGUGGCACACAGCUGCAAUCCCAGCACUCAGGAGGUAGAGGCAGAAGGAGUGCUGUGAGGAUGAGGCCAGCCUGGGUUACAAAGUGAGUUGAAGGCCAGCCUGAACUGUAGCGAGAUCCUGUCUCAGGCCGAAAAAAGUAAAAAACAAAACAAACAAACAAACGUAAAAAAACCAGAAACCAAAAACCAAAACAAAAUUAACAAAAAAAAAUCCCCAAAAAACAAAACACAAAACCUCCUCGGUAUAGUAUGCAGAAUUAUCUGAUUCCAAAUAUCAGUAAUGCAGAAAUUGAGAAACUCUGCUUUGGAGGAAAAUUAUAUUAUCCCAUAACGUCCACAAUGCUUUUAUUUUUAUUUUAUUGUUUUUUGGUACCAGGGACCAAACUCACAACUUAGCGCUUACCAGGCAGGCGCUUAUACUGCUGAGCUAAAUCCCUGGCUCAACACUGCUUUUAAUGUCAGUUAGAGUAACAGUUGAAAUCUGCAAACAAGUCUCACUUUGUGAUGCAUUGGCACUUUUUAAAACAUCUUUGUUGCUGUGUAAUAUAUAGACAUGAAACUUACCCACCACGUGGGUGCAGUGCGGGCCCUUUGAGUAACUACAUGGUUGUUGCGUCCUUGGUCACCAGUCCUAAUUCUCCCAUUCUACUAAAACACUUCUUCCCACCAGCUUUGCUGUUUUUCUUUGCUGGGAAUUGGACCCAGGGCCCAGGCAUCUUAGGCAAAGCACUUUGAUCUUGAGCUACAUCCCUGAAUGUCCUCCGUCCUGUCAGCCUUUAAGAUGAUAAUUUCGACUGGUUGGUGAUUUAUAAACAGAAACUAAAUAAAUCUAAAAGUCUUUCUGCAGACAAGCAGUGUUACAGCAAGAUAGAACACAGAAGUUAGGUAAAAUGCUUUCAAAGAUCACUACUUUAGCCAUAGAAGGCAUACAGUUACUUAUUUCUUUAUUUUUUGGUAUGGGGGUCGAACUCACAACCUUGCACUUGUCAGGCAGGCACUUUUGUCGUUCAGCGAAAUCCCCGGCCCUACCGUUACUUCUUAUGUGAUGAUUUCUUUAAAAGACAGGAUCAGAAAGUCCAAAACACACACCAAAGCUUUUUUGGGCAGGUGUGAUAUAGAAAGUCACAAGGAGAAUUAACCACAUUUAAUUCUGUGUCCUCAUAAAUUUUCAGGGAGCAAGGAGAUUCAGGGCUACAAAACAUUUAGAUUGCAAUUGGUAGUUUUAUGUGUGACUGAAAAGGUAGUUUAUAGGGCAAAACAGAACGAAAUCUGCUGAGGACGGUUUUGUUUUAGGAAGCAUGUGCUUGCAGACCGUUGUUUGUGAUGCUACAUUGGCAAACGUGUUUUUUUCUUUCUUUUCUUUUCCUUUUGUUUUGUUUGAAACAGGGUCUUGAUAUGUAGCUCAGGCUGGCCUUGAACUCUUGGUAGCCCUCCUGCCUCAGCCUCCCCAGGGCUGCAAUUACAGGCUUGUGCCACUGUGCCUGGGUUUGUUUUUUGUUUUUGUCUUUUUUCUUUUCUCAUUCGUUGGGUGGCCUUGAACAGAGUUGCUGAUCCACAGGACCUGACUUGUCCAGGAUGGGUGAGGGGAUUGGCAGGGGGGCAUCUAUGCUCCUUGUGGAAGAUCUAAAGAUGCACCACAGUGCCAGAGCCUUUUGAACUUCCGAGAUCUAGUGGCUUCUGAGUGAACUCCUGAGAGUGAGGCAGCUAUUUAGGAAGAAUCGUCAAGGGUUCCUUUUCUGGGAGCGCAUAGUGGUAGAGAUAGGAUCAGAAUCAUAGGCUUGCUGGCCGCCUGCACCGAGGGAUCUCCAGAAACGCCGGCUGGCUCUUCCUCAGGCACCAGCUGGCAGCCACUCAGCUUCUUCUGCUUUACCUCCUUGGGGAGGUGGAGUCAGGGCACCACCACACUGACUUAUUUUGAAGAUAAAUAGUUUGGCAUAUGUGAAAGCUCUUGAAACAUGAGCAUUCCACAAACAUCUGUGUUAUUUUUAGAAGUAUUCCCUUGAUGCCAGGUUUGGUGGUGCGUGCUUAUAUUCUCGGCACCCAGGAGCCUGAGGUAGGAUGACCAUGAAAUUGAGGCCAGUGUGGGCUGCAUAGGGAGACUCUAUCAUAAAUAAGCAAGCAGGCAAACAAACAAAUGUUAUGAUAUGAGUAGUUUGUAUUUUACUAAAGUGCUAUUUCUCCAUUACUUGGUUCUUUUUCCCAAGAGUUAUCAGAAGCGAAGACAGGUGAUGUUACUAGCAGGGACUGACACCUGAAGCGAUUAGUUAAAUGGCUUCCCAAAGCUGGAGGGUUUGCUCAGGAAGAUACCAGUUCACUAUACUCCCUUUCCAAAGCUUUCUCCUGGAAUUUAGGAGGUCACUGAUCUUCCAAAUGGCUUCUAGAGAGGACUUCAUUUGUUUCAGGCAGUCUGUUCUCAUUUGAUGUUUAUUGUACUCCUAUUAAGAGGUGUGUUCAAAGACUUUCCUGGUCCAUUGAUACUUGCAGGCCAUAAAGUAAACGAAAUAAGUGUUUUUAUUACUGGCCCAGGACAGACAUAAUGUGUGCCCUCGACUGUUUUAAAGCUGACAAUCAAACUGAUCACUGUGCUGGCCCACUAGAAGUCCAAGUUGAGGAAAGAUGAAACAGAGAACCCACUCAGGCUGUGGAGGUGCUAGAUGUGUCAGGAAGGUAAGAAACCGAUGGCCUGAAACAUUAGAGGUUCUUAAACAGCUCUCUCUAAGACUAUACACAUAGCAGUAUUUCAGCACAACCAAAAGGAAAAUCAUUUGAAAGUAUUUUUAAGUUUAUUAUACGUAUAAUAAAGAGCUCAAAUCAUAUGUUAACAGCUCCAGGAGUUUUUCCAUUUGUGUAUGUCUGUGUAGCUACCACCCAGAUAAAAGUACAGGACAUUUUCCGCCCCGAUAACCCAUGUUCUAUUACCAGAGAUUAGUUUUGUCUGUUCUGAAGUUUCGCAUAAAUGGAAUCAUAUGGUAUGAACACAUUGUGUCUGGUCUCUGUCACUCAGUAUUAUGUCUGUGAGACGCAUCCACGUCAUGUGUAGCAAGUUUUUAAAGUCAGUAAAAAAUUCCCACCAUUUUGAGGGUGAGGUCAGCAGAUGUGGACCCUUUCAUAGAAUGGAUGUAAUUAGGCCUUUAAAGGGGGGGGGUGUCGUAAAACAGGAUGACAGCUUCAUAUGUAAGUAUAUAAGAAGAAUGUGUGAGGGCAGGAUGGGGACGGGGAUGGGGUGUGCCUAGUCAUGCGGGUGUUGGGUUUGAGGCCAGGUCUCUCAGAGUAGACCGUGCUGGCUUUGAGCUUGCUGUGUAGCCUCGGCUGGCCUCCAACUCGCAUCCUCACACCACCACCCUCAGCCCUUUGCCAAAUGGGUGCUGGUGGCGAGGCAUGGCUGGCAGAGAAGCGGAAUGAUGGGGUGGGUGGGGCGGUGAUGUCACAGGUGGUGGAAUGUUCAGGGCACAGUUCCUUCUCCCUGGCGUCUGUAGUGGUGAGUCCUGAAUGGUAACUAUCACACGAAGCUCUGCCCUUACCCUCCCUGGUCCAGGAAGAUGAUGGGAAUUACUGCCCAUGGCAGUCUGCAGGCUCCGUAGCGUGUGUGUGUGUGUGUGUGUGUGUGUGUGUGUGUGUGUGUGUGUUGGGAGGGUGGCAGUUUCCUGAAAGCUUGGCUAGAACCUGGCCCACAGAGCUCCAGCAGGCAGCCACCUCUGAUGGUGGCCUAGUGCACGGAGGUGUUGGAAAGGACGCUCUUCUCCAUGUUCUAGCUGCUCCCAGGACUGGCGGUGAGAGCUACAGAUUAUGCCACAUCCCUGGAUGCUAGAAAUGAAUAUGUAAGAUGAGCUUACUAUUGAAUGCAGUCCUGUGGGGUCAUCCACCUGUAAAUUAACCCUUCUGUAGUUGAUGCUUCACCAGAUGGGAUUUUCGUCCUUAAAUUUGCGUACCCAUGUGCGUUUCCAUUACCAUUUAUUUGCUCAUUUGACACUUAAUUGUAUGGGUGAUGUUAGAUUCUGUUCAUCAGUUCUAAUUCAGACUUCUUAAACAGAAGUUUUUACCUGGUUACCUUUCAGGUAGGGUUGUCUGCGUCUUGUUCGCGUACCUUAUUCCCUGUUCUCCAACCCCAGCUCCUCAGUCGGCCCCCACUCCCUCCCUCACCCCUCACAGCAGCUGCCACCCCGUCAAUCUUUUUCUUUACUGUACUUAUCAGUGCUUUGAAAUCAUGUAUGUACAUGUUUACCUUUAUUGUUUUAUCUGUAGAUACUUGUCAUACAUACUGAUGGCAUUCAUCGUAGGGGACUUGUACCUGUACAUUAUAGAUCUUGAUUCCUCUUCUUUCACUAGUCUUCUCAUCUCCUUUCAGCCUUUCUUCUCUUUUGCAUUUACAAAAGCUUUGUUUCCAUUUUAUUACGUCUGUUCUCACUUUUUUUGAAAUUGCCCAUUUUUAGAAUAAUUUCGUUUUUCUUGCUAUCGGAGAUCGAACUCACGACCUCAUGCUUGCCAGGCAGGCGCUUAUGCCACUGAGCUAAAUCCCUGGCCCAUAGAAAAAUUUCUUGUCCACCUCCCUUCUAACAACAGAAGUCCUACGAAGCAGGGCCUUCAGUUUACUUCACAUCCUGGGUGGACUGCACCUCGCACAUAGUAAUCCACACAUCAUUUAUGGAACAAAAGAGUCAUGUUCUGUUUAGAGGCUCUGUGAGAUUAGAGAAAGGGAACUCUCGUGUGCUUCCCCAGGCCUGGGGAUUGAACCUGGAGAUGCUCUACCACUGAGCGACAUCCCCAGCGCGUCAUAUUUUGUGUUGCUCUUAUGGGACUGCCCAGGCAGGCUUGCCUUGCAGUCUGCCUCGGCCUCCUGAGUAUCUGGAAUUACAGGCCUCACCAUGAAAUUGUGCUUUGAGGAUGAAGAAGCUGAUACUCGGAGAGGUUUAGGAACUAGGUGUGUGGUUUACAGCUGAGCCACUGUCACUUGAGCCAUCACGGCGUUAUUCAUUCCCACGUGCAGUUCUUGUUGGCUCAGGGUUGAUCCAGUGACAAGCUUCCCAUGUUUGGUUGCCCGGGCUUUUGCUACAAACCAAGCAAAGAGAAGUGAAGUCUGCGUUUCAGUUCUUUGAAUGAGUGAUGUGAACUUUUUCAACCACCAACUGUCUCCUUCUUCUGUAGAUUAAAACUGAAUUUUCACAAAGCUUUCAUGAAUAUGAUGAGACUAGUAAGUUAAAACCUAUGAAUGAGAAAAUACUCUACUCUAAAUGUAUUAUUUUAGUGAAAUAGAAAAAAAAAUAACACAGUUGUAUGUAAAGGCAUGUUUUCUAAAUGUUUUUGUUUUGCUGGCUAUUUUAAAGUCUACAACAGACUGAUUUGUUCUUCUGAUUGGCUUUUCAUUUUUUUAAUCAAGAGAAGAGCACAUUUAUUUUGGAAAGAAGUAUGAAUACUGGCUUCAGUGAUCUAUUUGGGAUGAUCCAGUAUCCGAUCUCAGGAGGAGGCCUAGAGGAAUCUCUUCAGUGACCUCGAGUUAGAUGUGUGGGGUUGUGGCUACCAAAUUCCACACCACCCUAAUCAGCCCUUGUGCACUGGGUUCAGCCGUGGCUUGCGUGGUAUUGGCAUGCAGGAGAUUCCAGAGGUACAGGGACAAGACCCAAGUAAUGUCACAGUGACUGACGGUGGCAGUGGUAAUUUGUGUCAGCUCUAACAAGCUGGUGUUGAAACUGGGUGGCAGAAUGCCAAGGAAGCCAAGGUCAGCAGACUUGGAAAUAAUGAGGUGAGUCAUGUAACCCAGGAGUUGCACGUACCCACAGGACUACAGGACUGUCUGAGUCACCUCUCCUCCAGGGAGCACAGACAUGUGGCGGAGUUAGGUGCAGGACCUGCUGCGUGUGCCGAAGGGAGCAGAAAUCACAGCACCCUCCCCCUGUCCUGCUGGGGAGACAGAUAGAGAAGACAAGAAAAGUAAAGGUGAAUAACCAAGCAUAAUGUGCAGGGAGAGAAAGCCAGCAGGAAAAGGGACAGACAGGUGGAGCACAAGGAAUGAAACGGAGCAGAGAGCAGAACUGAAGGGAGCCAGGCUGCUGUAGCUGCUGGGGUGGGGGUGGGGCUCCUUCUGUGCUCUUUUUGGCUGUGUGACCAAGGAGAGGCUCUGGGCCCUGGAUGAGCUGCAGGCUUCAGAAUGAAACUGGAGAUAGUAGUGACUGAACAUUUUCUCUUCAUUCAACAAAUGACGCCAGGCAUUAAUUUAGACACUGUGGAUGUGGUGACAGAUGGGUUCUUACUCUUGCAGAGCUUGCUUUCUGGUAGCAGAAGCAGACAGUAAACAAGAAAAUAACAGAAUAUGGCAAGUGGCACAGAGAUGGGAAGCAUAAUUAAAUGAGGGAGCUUGGGGAAAAUUCCUUCACAUCUUCUCAGAAAGGUCUCUGAGGAGGGCACCAGGCCUGAGUGACAAGGUGGGGUGAAGGGCCAAGUGGGGGCGGUGAAGAUGCAGGCCAGCAGUGUCUGGACAUGUCUGAGGGCUGGCGAAAACCAGUGUGGUGGGAUGAGCUGCACAGAGAGAGGGGCCAGGGUAGGAGUUGAUCUGGAGGAGACUAAGAGGCCAGGUUGCAGAGGAGACUUAAGAGGCCAGGUUGCCAGAGUUUAAUUUUUCCCCGAGGAAAUUUUCAGAUCUGUUCAGUUAGUUUUGACAGAUACCUAGCAAACUAUAGACCAUUUCUAUUGCCAAGGAGAAUUCCCUCCCACUUCUUGCCUUUAAGGUUUUCUCCAUAAGAAUCAGCCACUGAGGAAUACUACUCAGCUAUAAAGACUGACAAAUUUGAAAUGUUUGUAGGAAAACGGAUGCACCUGGAAAUUAUAAUUUUGCAUGAAUUAAACCAGAUGCACAAGCUGAAAUACCAUAUGAUAGCUUUCAUUUGAGUGAGGCAAAGUACAAAGAAAAUGGUGAAGAUUGGAUAGAAAGGGCCAAGGGGCUGGAUGCCUUACAGGAGGGAAGUGGUCCAGGGGAACAAGGGCAAGGGGUGAGGAGGAAGAGGAGGGGAAGGGGAAUGAGAGGAAUGGAAAUGUGCCAUGUACAGGCACCUAACAACUCCGAGGAGUAUAAACACUGCUGUAAGAUGAGCUAAGACAGCGUCACAAGUACAGUAUGAAAAAGGGACAGGGAGGGCCUGGGAGUUAGCUCAGUGGCAUGAAUUCCUGCCUGGCAAGUGUGAGGUAGUGAGUUCAAUCUCCCGUACAUCCCCGCCCCCCCCCCCCCCCAGUAAAAACAAAAGGGACAAGGGAAUUGCAGGGGGAGUGGGGAGGAAAAGAGAAGGGGAUUUAUGUCUGAGACAGGGUUUCACUAUAUAGUUCACUUUUUAGCCCAGGCUGGCCUUGAACUCACAGUAAUCCCCCUGCCUUAGCCUCUUUAGUGCUGGGAUUACAAGUAUGUGCCGCCAUGCCCAGUGGGGGGAAAAAUUGAAAAGAAAUUAAGUAAGCUGUAAUGUACAUAGGGCCACCUGCAAGAUGAUUACACUGCAUAAAUUACAAACAUGUACUAAUAAAAAAAAUUUUUAAGAAGUCAGUCACUGGGCUGGGGAUUUAGCUCAGCAGCAUAAGCGCCUGCCUUGCAAGCAGGCAGUCGUGAGUUUGAUCCCUGGUACCGAUAAAAAGGAAAAAGAUAAAAAAAAAAAAAAAAAAAAAAAGAAGUCAGUCACUGAUCUGGUUUGUGUCACGGCGGGUUGGUUGGGCUGUUUUAUUAGUUUCCUGGGUGUCGUCCUAUUCAGCGUGGCUCUCUUGCUUCCGUGUGGUACCCAUGCUGCUUCAUGGGCUGUGUGAGCAACAGCUGAUUUCUGAUUUCUCUUUAUUUCUGAGGAGUGUCCAUCCCCUUUUCCUGUUGGGGACAUCUAGGCUUUUUCCAGGACGUUCAGAUUUGCGUUUUAAAGCAAAGCCUCUGAGAAGACUGAAGUGGGAGAAAGACUAGAAUGAGGGAAGCACUUGGAAAGAAACUGUACCUGUCGCCCAGGGGUGGCUGUCCCUGGGUCAGGUGCUGUAGCAGUGGAGGGCAAGGGAGAGACCGUGUAGGUUGUGAGUUAGAGGCAGUGAGACUGUCGGGAAGAGUGUAAGAGAAAGGAAUUCAGGGUAAUGUCCAAGCUGUUGGUGUGAGCAGUUGAAAAGAAGGUGGUUUUGUGUACCAGAGUGGAGAAGGCCUGGGAAGGAGGAGGUUUGGGAUAAUGCGCUUUCAUGGGAGUGUUAAAUUAGGUGUGUCUCUUGACAGUUCAGUGUCAUUUUGAUGAUACACUGUGAUUAUUUUAUUUAGCAACUUGGUAUAGAAUCUGGGAUAUUCCAAGUGAUCAGUAAAAUGUUAGCUACUAUCCCAGUUAAACGCAGUGCUAAAUAAUAAUUAUUGGUCCUAAAAAAGAAGCUAGUCAAAUUGGAGAAAAAGGAAAAUGGAUAGAGAAACAGUGGGAAAUAGGGCCUACUGGGUUGUGAAAAAUUAGUUGUAGAGGAAAAAUUCAAAGAGGAUCCAUCAGGUAGAGUCUUUGCACUUUUAAGAGGAGGAAUCUUAAGAUGUUCCAGGAGUGUCCGAGAGCACCUGUGGGUAUGGUCUAGCUCCUUUUUCUUCCCAGGCCAGCCACACCUGUUGUCUGAGCAUUGAGGUACUUGUCCUGCAGGGCCGUGGCAGCAGAAAACAAGAUGAUUUAGGCUGCAAUUACCUUGCAAAGACUCAAACACAACUAGUCCCCGUUGCGUGAAUGAGCUUUUCAGUCCAGUGUGAGUGGGUGGAGGUUGGGAUGGGAAUGCCUUGUGAGGGAAGAAGUGUGUCUGCUAACUGGCUGGUGGGGCCUCCAUGACAGCUUUGGUACUGACAGUGGAGGAGGUAUAAAUCUGAGAAGCUUGGAGGAGGGAUGGAGUCACUGAGUGAGGCACUGGAUACAGAUGUUUUGAGCUUCAGCAGCUGGGAGAAGUGUAAUGGGAGUGAAGGAUUAGGGUAGUUAAAAGGGGGGAAGUGCCGAAAUUGAGGGUGAGUUUUGGUGUAAUACUUUAUGGUCAGAGAUGCCAAAUGUAGGCAGUUGGGAAAUAUGGGCUGGAAGUGCAGUUUUGUGUUGUGGUUUUUUUUUUUUUUUUUUUUUUGGUACCUAGAAUUGAACAGAGGACCUUGUGCUUGCCAGGCAGGUGCUGUGCUGUUGAGCUGUAUUCCCAGCUCUCCAAGUGCUGUUUUACAGGUUGGGCUGGUUAUGUGACCCUGGGAGUCAUCAAUGCAGAUGAUGCCUGAUGCCAUGAGAAUGUGAGCUGUCCAGGGAAACAGCAUGGGAGGCAUUGCAGCUCACCCUGGUAGACAUGGUGCCAGAAUGCAGGCUGCAGAGCGAAGUGCUGCGCCGCUCUGCUGGGAGAGUGAGCUGCCCUUGGCCAAGGAAGGCUGGUAGAUCUUUGCCCCGGGUAGGAGGAGGAGUUGACUGCUUAGGCACCUUUGCACAUCACGUUGAGAAGGGAAGUUGGAGAGGGAGAGGGAGAGGGAGAGGGCCCUGCUGUCACUCGGGACUUCCCGAGUCCCCCCCCCCCCCAGUGAUGCCCUCUUGGGUUUGACCCUGGAGUGGUGACUGGUGUAACCAAGGGGCUGGGCAUCGCCUAGACCAUGUGGCCUGAGAUCCCGCCUGGGUUCUGGGCCUUUGCCAAACUGAGUUACUUAGGAAGAAGAGGAUAAUCCCUUUUUAAACUCCAGUGAGAGCACGAGGACUUCCAGACAGGAGUGUCAUGAAGAAUUCCCUUAAUUUGAUGUUGGGGUGACCCAGGAACAUGGCUGAGAAGCAUUCGAAUGAAGUGUUUAUGCCUGGGUGUUUAACCCUGCGUCAUUUUCUCAAAAUAAGAUUUCUGUUCUUCUGAGUGCUUGACUACCCUAACUUUUUUUUUUCUUGUAUGUGGGAUUCUCUGGGGCUUUCUAGACCAAAAGGCUCACCCACCUUCUCUUCCCUUUUUCUUUCUUUCCUUCCUCCCUACCUUCUGCUCUCUCCUUCUCCCCGCUUGCUUUCUCCCUCUCUCUAUCUCUCUAUCUCAUAGCCCAGGCUGGUAUUGAACAAACCAGCCAGUGAGGUCUUCAGAGGUGAUAAUGCAGUGAAUUACCUCACUGGUGACUUUUUUGUCCUUUUUACUUCCGUUUCCAAUCUCACUUCUAGGCAGCUUUACUCCCCUGCCCUUUUCUUUUCACCAGUGCUGACUUGCUAGAAAUUUUAUUCAUUUGUUUUUAUUGGUACCGUGGAUCGAACUCAUGACCGCCUGCUUGCAAGGCAGGUUCUUACGCCACUGAGCUAAAUCCCCAGCCCCUAGAAAUUUUAAGUUUCAGGGUUUUUUUUUUUUUUUGUGUGUGUGUGUGGCCCAGGCUGGCCUUGAACUUAUGAUCCUUCUCCUUCAGCUGGGAUCCUAGGUGAAGGCCUUCAUUACUGGUUGAAAUUCAAUUUUAAGUCAUAGCUUUAGGGUUUUGCCUGCUAUUGGAAAAAACUAUUUAAAUCAGAAAUAUUGUAACAUAAGGGGAAAAGCAAAAGGUUGUGUCCUAGAAAGAACUGCUUAAUCCUUUUAAACUUAAUCUGCAUAUGAAAAGCUAUAGUCAAUCAAGGAGCAAAAAGAGGUGUUGCAACCCUCAGAAGUCUGUAUUCUUCCACGGUAGUGUUUCUGGAAGGGUGGUCCUUAGGCAGCACCAUUUUAAAAAUGCGGAGUUCAGGUUCUACCUCACAUUUGGAGAGUUUGGUCUGCAUUGUGAGCAGAACCCUUAGCUAUUAACUCUCAAGCAAGUUCCAGAAGCUGUGCUCCAAAUCACAUCAGUAUGGUCAACUGUUCAUUUCUGCAGAGGAAACUUCUACUGCCGUUGCAGCUGUGUUCUGUUGGCUCCAGAUGUUGUUUUAAAAUAGGAUUAAAAGAUCUUUUUCAAAAUAAUGCAUGCACAUAGUUCAGAGGAAAAUCUGAACCGUUCUCAGUGAGAGCAAAUGAAAAUUUGCAGCUCCACCUAAGUCUCUCCCUCCCAGCCUCACUCCAUCUUAACCUUUUGUGGAAGGCUGCUUGCUACAACUGUAUAUUGCAGUUCAGGAAGGAGAACUGGAUGCAGAAUCCAGAAAUUCACCUGACACUUCUGCCUGGCAGGAAUGGAUUUGCAAAAAGACUAGGAAAUGGGCUGGGGAUUUAGCUCAGCGCCAUAAGUGCAAUACCUGGUACCUAAAAAAAAAAAAACAAAACAAAAAACAACAAGGCAAAAGAAAAGACUAGGGAGUUAGACUUUAUCAAGUCAGAGUUGUUUAGUGGGGAGCCUGGAGCAAACACAAGCCAUGCUGGUCUUUAUAAUUAGCAAGUUUUAAUUGUUUCACAACUCUACUAGUUUUGAAACGGGGUGACCUACUUAAUGAUUGCAUUUAUUCCUGUCAUUUGUUUCUCUGUCACCAGCAGAUUCAGACAGUGGAGGUGCAGCUGCCUAGAAACAGUCUCUUUUGUUUUCUUCAGAUCAGAAAAGGACUGGGUCUUGUACAGGCCCGGUGCAAGACACCCUCAUGUGUGCCCCCCCGCUUGGUAAACUCACAACCUCAUGCUUGUGAGGCAGGUGCUUAUGCUGCCGAGCUGUACCCCCCGCCCUCCUCCCCUCUUUUUCAAAUGUGUUAUCUUUCAUGGCUUCUGUGCUGAGUGUGAUGUGUCUGAAGCUUAUCUAUGUCAUAGCAUCUAUUAGUUCUUCCUGCUUUUUAUUGAUGAGUAAUAUUCCAUUAUGUAGCUAUAUCAUUUUUUGUUAGUAUUAACAAGUCCAUAGACAUUUGGUUCUUUACACUUUGACAGGGAAUAAUGUGAGUCAUCUGAGUGCAAGUCUUAACCUAUUGCCUCCUUUCCCACCUAUGUCCAGCUGCUGGCAUCUACAGGGCUACAGUUUAUCUUUAUGAAUUUGGCUACUGUGCACACUUCAUAUAAACUCACAGUGUUUGUCCUGUUGUAACUGACUUAUUUAGCAAAUUUAUUUCAUGUAGUGGCACAGGUCAGAAUUUUUUUAAAGUUUCAAUAAUAGAUCCAUUUAUCAACUAAUUAUUUUUUGGUACUGGUAAUUGAACUCAGGGCCAUUGCUGAGCUACAUUCUCAGCUCUUUUUUAUUUUGAGAUGGGGUCUAGUUGAGUUGCUAAGUUAACCUGGCUGGGAUUGGGCAUAAAUUUUCAGAUACUGCUACUGCAGCCUUUCAAAGUUCUGGGAUUACGGUCAGGUGCCACUACGCCUGCCCUCCGAUGUGUUUUCUUCUAAGAGAUUUAUUUUAUUUUAUUUUAUUUUUUGUCUUUUUUGAGGUAGGGUCUCACUGUGCAGUUCAGGCUGACCUUAAGUUUAGUUUGUAACCCAGGCUGGCCUUGAACUGGCAACAAUCCUCCUGCCUCAGCCUCCCAACUGUUGGGACAAUAGGAAUGUGCCACCAUGCCUGGUGAGGUUUAUAGUUUUAUGUUUUGAAUUGAAGAAUUUGAGUUUGCUCGCCCCUCCAGUCCUAGGGAUGGAACCCAGUGCUUCAUUUAUGCGAGGCAAUCGAUUUUGAGUUAAUUAUGAUAUUAAGGGUCCAACUUGAUUCUCUUGUAUGUAGAUAACCAUUUUCCCUGGCACUAUUUGUUGAAAAAAACUACCCCUUCCACAUUCAGUGGUUUUGGCAUUCUUGUCAAAGUCAUUUGAUCAUAUAGGUUGAGUGUUUAAUUUUGAUCUAUUUAUUCUAGUUCAUUGAUCCUCCUACCUCAGCCUCCUGAGUGCUGGCAUUACAAGGGGUGCAGCACUACGCCCAGCUUGGAAAGUGGUUUCUGACUUUUAUUAUUUUAUUGUGAUGCUGGUGAUCAAACCCAAGAGCUUACAGAUGCUAGGCAGGUGCUCUUCUGCUGAGCCACACCCUCAACAGGACUGCUGACUCCUACAGCUGCCUCUGUCCCUCCUGGAGCAGAGAAGUACGAUAUGAUGACCUCCCCCUGCAAGCCCAAAGCCGGUUAUCUGCCUGGGCAUGCUUUAAGCUUUUACUAGGUAGACUGGGUAACCUCAAGCAAGGCUCUUAUCACCUAAAGCUUCAGCUUUCUCUUCAAAUAAGGGUGCUUUCCUUACACAGCGUGAGAUAAAAAUAGUAUACAAAUACUUUUCUCUAUGUAUGUGUUCCUAAACGUUGGGUUCCCAGUUUCACUCCAUUAAUUUCCCAUCGCUGUGGUCUUGCUGUGGGACUGCUCUGUCACUGACUUUUAAGUGAUCCAGCCAAUGGGACUUUCCCCUAUUUUAAGUGGGACAGAAUCCUGCUGGACAGCUUGCUUGUCUUGCUUCUUUUCUGGACAUCAUCCAAAUACCCUCACACCCAUGUCACAAAUUAACACCAAGUGUGUGGGGAGCUUCCCAGUACCCCUUGUCUAUCUGCAAAUCUGGGCUGUGACUACUGGCUUUUCCAGUUUAGCUUCUUUUCCGCCAUCUGUCCUGACUUCUGCAUACCGUACUGGUCUGCUGCAUUCCCCUGACCUCUAACCUUGGAGUUACCUUGGAGAAACCUCUUUACCUGAAGCCUGUGAGAAGCAGUGUCUUGGCCUUUUGUUUCUUCUUGAUUCUGUGGUGUCUGCAGAGACCUGUUCUGGGGGGGAUGACGUCAUCUGAGUGGCCUCCCUCCUGGUGCCCAGGUUGCUGGCUGCUGCUGCAGUAAUUGGCCUGGCAGUGUGCUCCCUGAAAGGCUGCCCUUCAGCUGGUACUUUGUUAGAGCUGCAGGGCCAGCCCCCUUGGGACUUCUAGACAGCAGCUGUCACAGCCAAUUAAGAAGAGAUGGGGGAAGGUGUCUUGAAGGGAUUCUUCUUAUCUCAGAAGAACAGCGGCCAGGCUGGAACAUUGGUAAUGGGGAGAUGAGGAGCAGUGCGCAGGGCCUGACAGUUGCAGCUUGGUGCACUUGGCAGGAAAUGCAUUGCUGGCAUUCGGAAGACUGGCUUUGAAUAUUCUUAAAAGGCCUUAUUUGCCCUCUUUAUUUGCACAUUGGAUAAUGUAUCCCACACAAAUCAAAAGCAUGGUGUGUGCACUGAGAUUGCUCUGUGGCCAUGGUGUGUGUACAUCAGCAGGAAGUGCUUUUUGUAUUCUACCAAAAAGUUCUGAAGCAAAUGAGUAGAACUUAGAAGACUCUAGCGUAUCUUUACCUACUUGGGGAUAUUUUGAGACUAUUUUGUGGCUAAAUUCUUAGGGCCCAUAGCGAAGACUUGGGGCUUAGAAUGGAAUCCCUUGAACCUCUAGUUUAUCGAUGUCCAGUAGAAUUAUAGUGAGAACCACAUAGGUAAUGUAACAUUUUCUAGUAGUCCCAUGUACUAAUUUUGUAGAGCUACCAUAACAAAUCACCACAUAUCGGGUGGCUUAGGACAGCAAAAUGUCUUGUACAGUUAGUGUUCUGGAGUCCGGAAAUCAAGAGAGCAAAGUGUCAUUGUCGUGGGCACCUCGUUUGGGGAGGCACCUUGUCUGGGGAGGAAUCUUGCUGAGCCUUUACCUGGCAGCUGAUGUCUCCAGUAAUCCUUGACAUUCUUUGUCAUUUAAUUAAGCGCGCAGCUGCAAUCUCUGCUCCCCUUUGGUCUUCUGUGGUUGUCCCUGUGUUUGGCACAUGUGUUUAAUGUGUAUGGCUGGUUAACACCAGAGGGUUGGGGUGUGGCUCAGUGGGAGAGCCUAGCCUGUGUGAGACCCUGGGCUCAGUCUCAGUCCUUAGCACUGAGAGGGAAUGAGAGAGGGAAGGAAGAGAGAGAAAAACCCAAAAAGUUAAAUUUCUCUGAUUUUAAUGUUUUGUUUGGCUUUAUAUGCCAAAAUAUUAUCACUAUACCUUAUAGUCAAAAAAAGUCAUAAUGGGACAAUUAUUAGUUAUUUUUGGGGACAAUUAUUAUUAUUACUAUUAAUUACUGUAGCACUGCAGAUACUGUAGUACUGGUCCACAAUGAGCUACACUUGCAACCCUCUUCUUGAAUUACUUUUAUUUAUUUAGCUGUAUUGUUUGCAGGGUCUCACUAAGUCACUGAGUUGCCCAGGCUGGGCUUGGACUCGCAGUCCUCUUGCCUCAGCCUCCUGGAGAUCUUGAGAUUAUAGGAAUGUGUUCCCACAUCCAGCUCACUGGGAUUUUUUAAAAUGCUCUUUAAAAUCUAGUGUGUGUUUGUACUCAUAAUUCAUCUCAGUGUGGAGACCCACUUUUCUUUUCUUUUCUUUUUUUUUUUUUGUCUUUUUCCUUUUUAUCGGUACCAGGGAUAGAACUCACGACUGCCUGCUUGUAAGGCAGGCGCUUAUGCCGCUGAGCUAAAUCCCCAGCCCCCGAGACCCACUUUUCAAGGGCUUAACAGUCCAUGUGGGGCCAGUGGCUGCCUCUGGACAGUGCAGCUGGGGUCCCUGGGGCCGACACUAGUGGUACAUACUUCUCAGUGUUUUGUUCUGGGUGUUCGCCCUCCUUCAUCUUCCUGGGAUUUUUCUUUUCUUUUCUUUUUUUCUUACUUUCUUUCUUUCUUUCACAAAGUCUUAGUCAUUUUGAACAAAAGGAAUGAAAACCUACUGCACAAAAACUACUGGGGACCCCAGAACACAGUGAAUAGGGGAAACAAAAUUAGCCAGUUUUGCAGCAAAGGACCUUUAUUCACUUAUUUUCUUAGGGUUUUUUUUUUUUUUUUUUUUUUGGUUAGUGCUGGGGCUGGUACCCAAGAAUUCAGUUACAUUUUUAAGGGAUGGUAUUUAUUGUGUGGUGGAAUUCAUAAACAUUCUAUCACAGUGGCUUAAGUAAGAGGAGUUAAUAUUUGGGAUUUUUUAAAUUGAGUGGGAAAAUAAAAGACUUCAUUAUUGUAAACCUCCCUUUAGGAGACCUGUGACUCAUGUGUACACAAGCCCCCAGUGAACACGGCUAUUAUUCUCUGUCAUGUUAAGACAAGAAGGGACAUAAGCUUUUCUUUUUGGGCUGACCGCAUUAAGUCUGUUGUAAUAAUGAAUUAUUAUCUGUAUCACUAAAGUCUGUAUUGUCUUUUCCAGGAAUUAAAAGCUUGUUACUUGUUAGUCAGAAGGGAAGGAGUGUAUGUGUGUGUGUGGUGGGGAGCUUUUAUAAGCAGUCCCUCAGGGAGAAAAAUUUGGAGCUACAUCUGCAGCCCUUUAAAAAUAUUUUAAAAUUUUAAGACAGAGUUGUUGCCAGGUAGCACAGAGGAAUCCAGGCUCUUCCUGUCCUGUGCAAAGAAUUGGCCAGCACGACUGGUGAGCACAACUUUUAAAGGGAGCAAAGGAAACAAGUAAAGGAGAGUGAAGAAGAGAAGAAAGGAAGGGUGUGGUGGUGCAUGCCUGUAAUCCCAGCCUUCAGGAGGCUGAGGCAGGAGGAUUGCUGUGAGUUGGAGAGUUCAUAGUUGCCAGUGUGAACUUUAUAGGAAGAUUCUGUCUCAAAAAACCAGAGAGGGUGAGAGCAGAGAGGGAAAAGGAGCAGAGAGAGGGAGAGAAAGAAAAGAUGAAGAGAUGAACAAGAAGAGGUGUGUUCACAAGCAGGAUGGGGUGUUACAGACACAGAGUGACAGGAAGGCAGGAAGAUUAUCACAGUGGUGGGAGUCAGUGGAGUGCUGUUUUAUCCUUCUAGAUCUGGUUGGGUAGAAGCUGCUCUGCCCAGCAUCCUGGCCGUGAUUGACAGGUCACCUCCGUUCAACAUCAGGUUCCAUGGCUAUAUCUGGUUUUCAGCCUCUGUUCUGGAUAUUCGUGAUUGAUAAAUUGCGUUUGUUUUCCAGCCAGUCUGCCGCGCCCUAACCUACUGUCUCAGGGUUGCUCGCUAGGUCACUGAGUUGCCCAGCCUGGACUCCUGCCUUAGCCUCCCACAGCAUUGGAAUUGCAGGUGUGCACACUGGGCCUGGCAGGAUCCUUGAUUUCCGAAGUCUAGUGUCUGAUAACGAUAUGGUUUCCUCUCUCCUGCUGUGACUGGAAUUAUCAGUGCUGGCUGUGGUAGCUUUUUCCCUGCCAGGUACACUCCCUGUAUAAACAGUCUAGCAAAGGCUGAGGCUGAGGUUGCACAUGUACCCAGAUGCAAAAUCCAUCUUGCUUCUCAAAGUAAAGUGUUACUUAGGUGAAUGAGGAAAGACUCUUACAUUACAUAAUUCUUUGGAAUCUUGAGUUUCUGGACAUUGCACACCUGACCCCCAGCGGUGUAUGAAUCCUGGUUCUUAAUCCAGAAGGAAAUCUUUGAGUAGAUAACUUGCCAUAUUUGUGAUAAUUUGAGGAGAAUCUCAUGUUCUUGUGUUGGGUUAGGGUUACAAUAUCCACAUCCCCUUCCCUCAAAAUCCACAUUCUGCCAGGUGUGGUGCGUACCUGUAAUGCCAGCACUUGGGAGGCUGAGGCAGGAGGAUCCUUGCAAUUUCGAGACCAGCCUGGGCUAUAAAGUGAGCUCAAGGCAUAUUGAGACUCUGUCUCAAAAAAAGACAAAAACAAAAGUAAACAAACAAAAAAUGCCCACAUCCCUUUACAUGUAGAUGCAGAGGGAUUCAUAAAUCCUGGACUGUGUUAAUCACAGCAGAGCUUUCCUGUGUAAUGGAGUGCACAGCUGAUUCUGGUAUGGAAGUUGAAAGAAAAAGGAAAUGGGAUUUUUUUUUUCAUGUACAUAAUUAGUAAAAAAAGAGAAAAUGACUGGAAUUUUUGUUUUUUAAAGCUGUAAUAACUGUCAUUGCUUCUUCUAGUGACUACAGGCAAAAGCAAAAAGGAGAAAAUCAAAAGACAGUUAGAAGUAUCCUGCCUCAGGUCUUUGUGCUCUGUCCCACCCCCUGUCAAGCCCUGCAGGUGGGUUGGAGAGGGAACCUUUGUAAGGGCAGUGAGGCUUCUACCCUGCCCCAAUGCCCUCACCUCAACCUCAGCGUCUUUCUCACUGGCCUGUGCGCUCUAGGUUGCCGAGGCUGUCCCCCUUCUCAGAAGUCUUGGCUGCCACGUUCUGAGAAAGGCGUGGUGUAGAUCGCACCUGUAUGCACCCAGUGUCAGCCCCGUCCUCAUCAUACUUGCUUCUCAAUGCACUCUGAUUUCCUAGUGCACUGUGUAACUCACUCGCUUGUGUAGCUGCCUGAUCUCUCUCUCUUUUUUUUUUUUGUCUUUGUUUCAUUUUUAUCGGUACCGGGGAUCGAACUCACAACCGCCUGCUUGCAAGGCAGGUGCUUAUGUCGCUGAGCUAAAUCCCCAACCCCAGCUGCUUGAUCUCUUAACCCCUCACUGUAAGCCUCAUGAGAGAAGGCACUUUGUUUCCUUUUGUAUAUGGCAGUGGUACCUGGCGCAUAGUAGGCCUUCAACUAAUGGUAUGAAGUGAAUCUGUUUGUAUGGUAGUUCUGACUUGAAAUGUAGUUCUCUAAACCCAGAGGUUUUUGGCCUUUGCUUUUGCUUUUUCCUGGAAUUAGUGAUAAUAAGAGGAUUGAGGAGCGCUUUGCUACUGAGCUACGUCAUCAGCCCUUUUACUCUGAGUCAGGUGCUUGCUGAGUUGCACAGGUGGGGCUUGAACUUGUGAUCCUCUUGUAUCAGUCACCCUCAGUGCUGAGACUACAGGCAUGUAUUAGUUUGUUCUCUCUCUCUUUGCUAGGUUUGGCUUAAUUGCUUUUUGGGGACUCUCUCACUAGCAUUCUCUGUGUCUCUUCUGGUAGCGCUAGGGAUUGAAUCCAGGGCAAGAGCUCUACCACUGAGCCACACCCCAGCCCAAAUUUUACCUUCUCAAACCACUCUUUGAAAAGUUGGAUCAGACAGCUACACAGAAAAGUUGGGGGCUUAGAAAGCCCUGAAAGUAACUGUUGGCUAAUUUAGGUUCAUAGUUUAGGCCUUGUAAAUUAAACUAACAAAAGCCAGAUGGUUAACAAGAGAAGAAGGAUGAGAGCCUUUUUACCGUAGCCACUGUGCAUAAAUACGAGAGCUUUCAGGGAUGAGCAACUGCAAGAGUGAUUGAAACUUGGGCUUGUGUAGUACUUCAGCAGACAGCAGUCAUUUUUAGAGAUAGGACAAGACCAGGAAAGGGCUUUGAGUUGCUAGGGUCAGCAAACUGUGGGAGGGAAUAUACAGUAUAUGGGAACUAAUAGGAGGAGACAGUUACUUUAACAAGAUUUGUUGUGUAGAUUUUCCUGAUACCAUUCCUGGGUUGAAAGGGGUGUACAGUUAUCUGUGGUGAUGAACUUCUGGUCCUUGGUGAUUGAGUGGGGAAAAUUACAGUUUACAAAUGUGUGCCCUGUUGUUAAUCACCUUCUGUUGCUAUGACAAAAUGCUUGAGAAAAUCGACUUACAGGAGAAAGGGUAUCUUGUGGGUCAUGGUUUCAAAGAAUUCAAUCCAAUGUUAGAUGGUUUUCUUGCUCUUGGGUCAGAGCAGAGGCUGAAUAUCUUGGCCUCAGCAGUGAGUUGGGGCAGCUGCUUGCUGGGAGCAGCCGGGAGUCAGAGAGCACGGUAGGGGGAGGGCAGGGAGGAAGGGCACACUUCUAGUUAGGCCCCAGCUUCUGGAAUUCCCGCCAUGCUGUCAGUUUAUAAACUCACCCAUGGAUUAAUCCACCUGUGAAGGUAGAGCCUUAUUAAUCCGGUCACCUUCCCAGAGGCCUUAUCUCGGAACAGUGGGACCAAGCCUUUCAGAUACGAGAUUUUGGGGGACAUUUUAUUUUAUUUUUGUCUCACUAUGCAGUUCAUGCUAGCCUUGAGCUCACUGUAGCCUGGGCUGCAUGGCUCUGGGGAACAUUGUAGAUCCAGACCUUAACCUGCUUUUUAUGGAAAUGAUGUCAAGGCGGAGAACUUUUCUGACUCCUACAGUGACGUAUUCUGCUACCCUUUUGUUUAUUGAGUUUGGGUUGUCCUGAGAGCAUCUCCUGCAGCAAGUUUCUGAGGCCUUUGUGUGCGGAGGAAGUGGGUUGCUCAUUGCAGGGAAUUUCAAGGCCAAGUUCACCCUGGAAAAGAGAGUGAGGCAGCGACCUGGGUCCUGCUUGAUGCCCAGAAAGGUCUCUUGAGCUUCUCAGGGGUCAGAGCUGUGGGGUAUGAGCUCCAUCUAGGUCUUUCUCCAUCUUCAUUGUGACGAAAGGGAAGAAGCAGUCAGCUUGGAUUUGCCAGAUUCAUAGGGCACUGUGAGUCUACUGGGAGAGGAGAAUGCAUGUUCAGAAGCACACUGUUUUUCUACCUUGGCUCUUGUUUGAUUUUAAAUUUUUUUUUUUUUGCGGUACCAGGGAUCAAACUCAUGCUUGCCAGGCAGGCGCUUAUGCCACUGAGCUAAAUCCCCAGCCCCGUUAAUUUUUUUUUUAAACCUUAUCCCUUCUUACCUUU